GCUACCAUGCAGUCGAACGGCAGCACAGGAGAGCUUGCUCUCUGGGUGGCGAGUGGCGGACGGGUGAGGAAUACAUCGGAAUCUACUCUGUCGUGGGGGAUAACGUAGGGAAACUUACGCUAAUACCGCAUACGACCUACGGGUGAAAGCAGGGGACCUUCGGGCCUUGCGCGAUUGAAUGAGCCGAUGUCGGAUUAGCUAGUUGGCGGGGUAAAGGCCCACCAAGGCGACGAUCCGUAGCUGGUCUGAGAGGAUGAUCAGCCACACUGGAACUGAGACACGGUCCAGACUCCUACGGGAGGCAGCAGUGGGGAAUAUUGGACAAUGGGCGCAAGCCUGAUCCAGCCAUACCGCGUGGGUGAAGAAGGCCUUCGGGUUGUAAAGCCCUUUUGUUGGGAAAGAAAUCCAGCUGGCUAAUACCCGGUUGGGAUGACGGUACCCAAAGAAUAAGCACCGGCUAACUUCGUGCCAGCAGCCGCGGUAAUACGAAGGGUGCAAGCGUUACUCGGAAUUACUGGGCGUAAAGCGUGCGUAGGUGGUCGUUUAAGUCCGUUGUGAAAGCCCUGGGCUCAACCUGGGAACUGCAGUGGAUACUGGGCGACUAGAAUGUGGUAGAGGGUAGCGGAAUUCCUGGUGUAGCAGUGAAAUGCGUAGAGAUCAGGAGGAACAUCCAUGGCGAAGGCAGCUACCUGGACCAACAUUGACACUGAGGCACGAAAGCGUGGGGAGCAAACAGGAUUAGAUACCCCUGGGUAAGUCAAA
rnacentral:rRNA from 1 species